rnacentral:rRNA from 1 species
UACGGGGGGGGGCAAGCGUUUGUUCGGAAUUACUGGGCGUAAAGGGCUCGUAGGUGGCCAACUAAGUCAGACGUGAAAUCCCUCAGCUUAACUGGGGAACUGCGUCUGAUACUGGAUGGCUUGAGUUUGGGAGAGGGAUGCGGAAUUCCAGGUGUAGCGGUGAAAUGCGUAGAUAUCUGGAGGAACACCGGUGGCGAAGGCGGCAUCCUGGACCAACACUGACGCUGAGGAGCGAAAGCCAGGGGAGCAAACGGG